rnacentral:tRNA from 2 species
GGGAGCUUAACUCAGGGGUCAGAGUGCUACCUUCACACGGUAGAAGUCACAGGUUCAAAUCCUGUAGCUCCCACCA